rnacentral:rRNA from 1 species
AUGCAUGCUUGUUUGAUUGAGCCUAUGUUAUUUGGUUGUUCUCGCAUCAUAUGCCUCCAUACUAUGAAAUGCUCCCUUGUACUUUCUUAUGAUGAGCAUGAUGCAUACACUUGUUGGCUAUCUUACCACACGAAUGAUAGGCUUUGCACUUCCGCUAACCUCAUUUGCUUUUCCGACUGUUUGUCAUGUUCUUUUGUUUUGAAGGAUUCACAAGGCAGUACGAUCAUGAGACAUUUUGGUUAUGAGAAGGCAUACAUGAUGUGCAACUCCAUCAUCCUUGACAAACUCCUAAAGGUGACCUCCUUCCAUUUGAGCCAUCCUCACGUAUGCAUAUUGGAUGGGUCAUUCUUUCAUUGUUGUCUCCUUCUUCUUGUCUACAUGAUAUCUAUUGGAUGGAGACACGACAUUGGAGAUGGACCUCUAUGGACCUUCAAGUUGAGGAGCGCUCGGACUUAUUGA